ensembl:lncRNA
AUGAGCAUGUCCACUGGAGGAGUAGUGCCAGCUCCGCUCUGCCAGGGCUUUCUGAAGAAACGGAAAGACAAAAUGAGGCUUCGGUGGAUGACUUACUGGUUCAGACUUUACAAUACAACUCUCUUUUUCUACACUAAAAAACAUGGGAGUGCUAUAGACCUCAGAGGCCAGUAUUACAUAUAUGAGAUUCAGUCUGUGCGGGAGGUCAGCAGAUCUGAGAGCAAUCACUAUCUAUUUGAGAUCACAAUGAAAAAUGGGAAGAAGAAAAUGCUGGCAGCAGAUACAGCUGAUGUCAGGCAGGAGUGGAUGGAGCAGCUGUGGAAAGCCAUGCUGCUCAAUGGCCCUGACAGAUCUGGAUCUAUCACUAAUGGGGAGCUGCUGCCAGAUAACAACCUUGAAAUUCGGUCAAGCCAUUGUGAAGAAUCAAGUACUGAGACCAGCAGCACUUCAGUGGACAGAUGUCUCUCCAUUGAUCAAGAGUCAUUCUUCGCUGGUACUGUCUGCAUUCGGGUUGCUGAUGAGACACAAGACAGUUUGCACACAAAAAAUGAAAUGGAGCAAAGUACUGAGGAGUUUUUACUGACGGACCAUGACUACGAUGUUUUACCAUCUCGAAUAGGUGUGUAUAAUGAUUAUUAUUUUAUUUUUAUUUUUUUUGGCAGUGCUUGUUUAAAUAUAAUAUUGUUUAUUAACAGUAAUGAGGGGUCAACAGAGUGAGGAUCCAUUUAUUUUAAAAGAAGAGCAUAAAUACAGGCAGGUUCAAUCGCCAGUAGUCAGGGUUAUCAGAAACGAGACCAAAGCAGAAUCAGAGUCCCAACAACAGAGCAAGGAGAUGGAAGCAGGCAGCAAACAUUCAUGAAACAGGUAACAGUCUAAGGUCAAACAUGGUAAUCCAACAGAGAAGUACAAGGAAACACUCCAGCAAAUGUCAGCCAGUGAAGGUUGCAGGUGGAUAGCCAGACCCAUUGUCCAGGAGCAUACUCUGGAGUGGGAUGUCGGUGACGGUCAGCCUGUUUCUUUUGUCUCCAGACAGCAUGUUUCAGGCAGAUUCCCCCCUCUUAAUCAUGGACGUUAGUGGAGCUGCAAUGGAACUAAAGUCUGAUGAAAUGUCUAUAAAAAAAAAAAAAAAAAAAAGCUAAUCCUAGUGAGCAUUGCAUCUCCUUCACCGUCAUUGAUUGAAGCCAGUCAAAGACUGCUUGCACCUUGUGAUCGUCCAUGGCCAUGCCUUCCGAGCUGAUUACAUAUCCGAGGAAUGUCAUUGAUUUCUGUUGGAAUUCACAUUUUUCAGCUUUCGCAUACAGUUGGUGGGGAAAUCAAACAUUGAAGAACAGCCUGGACAUUAUGAAUUGUGUGUUGAUUGUGUUGUUUGGAUUGAAGAACUAUGCAGUUGUUGCCUUUAAUUUCACAUGGUUACAGUUAAUCUUUUCAUUUAAGGCCAGUUCUAUGUAGUUUCAACCCAAUUCAAAAACAAAAGCUAAAUGCUGAUGUCUGUACCAUCUAGUUUGUAUUGAAUGUAGGCUACUUACUGUGCAGUCACUGCCGUUAAUUUCAGAUGAUUACGGUUAUUGUUUUCAAUAGCCAAAAGCCAGUUUGGCUUAUUAAAUACCAAAUAAACAUCUUGUUUAUGUAUAUUUUCCUUCUUUC